rnacentral:tRNA from 1 species
CUGGUGGAACUUGCGCCCGUAGCUCAACGGAUAGAGCAUCUGACUACGGAUCAGAAGGUUGGGGGUUCGAAUCCCU